AAGUCGUAACAAGGUAACCGUAGGUGAACCUGCGGUUGGAUCAUUAAUAAAUGAUUUGGUUUUAUACCAAAACAUCGUGUGCAAUCAUAUCUGUCUCUGGUGGUUAAACUUUUUGUCUGGAAUGAGGAUCAUGUUUCUUUCGAAAGGAGGCUCUUACUUGAUCAUCUCUUGCUUGCAAAAUACCUUACCACCAAUUGAAUACACAAACCUUUGUAUGUUUUUUUUAAGUCUGAAUCAUUCACUUUUGUGCAAUGAAAAAACAACUUUUGACAACGGAUCUCUUGGCUCUC
rnacentral:misc_RNA from 1 species